UUUCUCUAUCAUCUUCCCUUUCUCUUCAUAACCACUGUCAACACUGCUCUCAAAUUCUCUAUUCUACUCAUGUUACAAAAACAUCAAAAAUAACGCUGCUAAGAAAAGUGAUGAUGCUUUGGUCAACUGGAUGCUAGCUGUGACAUUCAUGAUGGUGCAACAAGAUGAAAUUAUGAUGAAAUAAAGCGGCUAAGGUGAGGGAGAAGACCAUUGUGGUUUUAGAGUAUUUCAUUAGAGUUAUAUUCUCCGAUUUCCCUCAAGAAUCGGAGAGUGUUGUUGGAUAGAAACUCCAUUGGAAGCUUGUUUUUCCAUGUGAGAGUCUUUGUCUUCCAUUAAGAUGUAUUAGCCAUAAACAUGAAAACCGUUUUGUCAACUAAAUGUGAAAUACUCGUUUAUGGUAAUACGUCGUCAUGAAAGAUUGUUCUAUCUUUAUUUGUGGGUAUGAAUGAUGAUAUUGUGAUAAAAAUGAGUUGAUUAUGUAAGGCAUUAACGAUUAUGUUUUGGGUUACCUUAUUGUGGUAAGGAAUAAGAUAUAUUGUGAUUAUGACAUUGAUGUGAUAUUUUAUAUUAUGGUGAAGUCGUGAUGUGAGAAUGACAUAGUGAAACUGAUUAUAGUGUGGGUUGUAUUGUUGCAUUGGCAUGAGAGCGAUUUAAAUUGAUUGUGAGAGUGAUAUUAGGAAUGUACAAGUGUUAUUGGUAUUAG